UGCCUGUGAUGUAAUAAAUAUUUGCUACUCUUGAUUAAUGAUGACGAGAAAUAACAACUGAGGCA